UAACAAUUUGUGGACCUUCUUCCUGGCACUCCCAAAUGUAGUCACAUGGGAUCACUUGUUGGGACUACCAUCUCAGCUACACCCUCACAAUAGACUACAUGCUUGAAUAUGGAGCCAUCACAUUGUCACAUAACAGCGUAGAUACUAGCACCUCCACAGCGUUAGCAGAUAGGUCAGCCACACCUCAGCUCUGUCCGUUUGUCCACACCACUUUUCCUUUGGCUUGACAUUUUCUUUUUGUUUUCGCUGGCUGUCCUCAACUUCUCCUGCUCUUUUUCUGUCUCUCCCUCUCCUCCUCUUACUAACCCCCUUCUGGUGUGGGGCCCCUGUGGUGUGGCCCCUCCCCUGAUGUAGCCCGAUACAACUGAUGUGAAGAGAGGGGCUCAGAUAGUGAAAUGUGCCAGUCUGCGGAGAGUUAAGCAGUGAGGCAGGCUGCAGAAUUCUCCACACGAUUCUAGCCCUUCUCGUAAAGCAUCAUACAUGGACACAUGACCCGGUGCUGUUGCUGACCAGUGACCACCUCACACCAGAUAGCCAGACAAACGGACCUGAGCACCACCAGACCUUCAGCACGCCACCACCGAAGGAUAUGGUUUUACCUGUAGUUUUUAUGACUUUUUUUUAAAACCAUGAGAAACAUCUACUCUAGGCAAGACGCAUGAUUUCGUAUAAAAUUAAAACACAGACCAAAAAAAUUACAAAAAAAUUGAGCAACCAAAUGAGCUUCCUGUAUGUGUAUGAGCAUGAGUGACUCCCACCGCAUGGCCUGUUUUUAACUACGAUAUGGGGGGGGUUUGGGGGACAGGCAUGCAGCACUGAAUAUGGUCAAUGAUGGGCCAAUCAUAAAGUGGCGCGAAAUUUGAAAAAAAGGGUAAUGAAUUUGAAAAUGAAAAGAAUAUUGUCUCUAGGCAACAGUUUCUCUCCCUUGUGUCCAUAUCCACUGAACUUAUAAUUCUAUGUGGUUUUAUCAACAGUUUAACGGCUUAAGAGCUUAAAUAUGAUUCCUUAGAUAUCCUGCAGAUGGCGCCAUGCAUCAUCUUGUUUGGGCUUAUUAGCUUUCCACAUUUGAUUUACUUGAAUGUGUUUGUUAGCCAGUAUUUCCAUUAAAUUGUUGCUGGAAGGUAGUUUGGUAUGAUAUGAGAACAUGUAUUUUGCCAGUGUACGAAAAUUUCAUUUUGCUAUUAUUUUUGAAUUGAACACAAGAUAAACAUGCGAUUAAAAAAUAUCAAUAGAAAGCUCUACAGGUGUUUGCUAGCAUGGUUGACUUUAGCAUACAGUUUCAUGGAAAUAAUGCAAAAGUUUGGGCUUGUUAUUGUCUUCAAAAUGAGCAUAGAGAAGUAUAGAAGACCAAGGAGAAGUCUCAGCCAAAGAUGUGUAGUCAAAAGUUACAUCUUAUUUUUUACAGAAUAACCUAUAUUUUUUUUGCAUCAAACUAAGAUGAUGAAUGAGCUACCAUGAGUGAGUUAACAUCACGUGUCUUCCAUCUGUGUCUGGCCUUUGUCACUACUCACCGGUGCCACCUCAGAGUAGAUGUAGCAGCCUUGUCCUCAGGCAGAGGCAGGGUCAUCAUGGGGCAAAAGACUAGCAGCAAGUAGCAGCAUCUGGAGUCUGCCCUACAACCAGAGGAGCUCAAGACUGUAGCACUGAAGGAGAGAAGACAGGUGCGGGACUACAUUUGUGUCCAAAGUAGGUUUCUUAUAACCUCAGUCAAAGGUCCCAUACUAUGCAAUAAUGUUGUGUUUAGAAUGCUUGAACAUCCAGCAGUGACACGUCAUGCUUUAUGACAAUGAAGAGUGAAGCAAUUUAAGACUAAAUCAGUUGCUACUAGCAUCAAAGAGACUAAUAUAGAGAUUAUAAUACCCAGAGUCAUUGCAAACAUGGUCCAAAGCCGAAUAAUUGUCAUUUCAGCAUGACAUUUACUUGAAUGUAAAAUUCAGAAAACAUGUUUUCAUUUUGGAAGUAUAUUAUUGCUAUUGUUUUCCAUGAUUACAUGAGCCAGACAUUACUUCCAUAUUUAAUGCACAACGUGUGCAUAAUUUGGGGAUGUGUUUGUCUGGUUUGCAGUUUUACAUUUGUGCAAAUUAUGUGCACAAUCACCUUGAAUAUUGUUAAAGGAACUGUAUAGCUCGCACUCUUACAAUCAGUGUUUGGCGCAACAUUUUUGUAAUCAAUAAAUCAGCAUUAGAAUUAUCAUCAGUAUAAGCUUUAUUUGAUUUCAACAUGCUAAACUCAUGUCUGGGGACAUAGUUAGGUCAUGUUUAUCAAGUUUAAAAUAAAAAUUUCACAUACAGCUCAUUUAAGAAAGAGUAACUGCACUUGUUAAAAGAGUGUAUAGUUGGAAGGUUUUGUACAGCCAAAUCGAUUUGUCUGCAUCCACUUUUGGCACAAAUGUCACCCCGUACUCGACAGUGGAGAGGAGGGUGCGUCGAGUUGAGUUGAAUGUUUGUCCCUUUUGCUUCUUCUUGAGAGUCACCAAUCACUGUGAAGAGUUCUCUGACCUGUAACUGUGAGUGUGGCCCUUCGCAAGCGCCACUCUCCUCCGCUAAUUCAAACACACCCAAACCUACGCAGCAAUAACAGCGCCGAGAAGAUUG
ensembl:lncRNA